CUGGAGACGAGAGAUUCUCUGUAACGGCACGGGAGGAACACGUCCCGUCACUGAGAGAUUAACGGAUUUCGGUUCGAGGAGAUAAAGAGCAUCGGCUGAUGGGGCUGAAGCUGAUCAAGCUACUGUUCCGUCGCCGCCGCCCGCCGCCGUUCGCCGCCGUUCCUGAUCUCAGCUGCGUUGGCUAAUGAGCAGGACUCGCGUUGGUACCGGUUUGGCUCUGUUCUUGGCCGAGCUGAUUCGAAGGUCGGAAUCCUUUGCGAUGCCAGGAUUUCGUUCGUCGGUUGAAUCGCGAAAGGUCCUGUUGCCGAUUCGAGCGUUCGUCGCAAUGCAAACGUCACGGGCCAGGUAAUAUCUAUUAUCUUUGCUAUCGAGAUGGAUGUUCUUUCUUUUAGGAUUAAAGCACGCGUUGGGCGCGAUUGGAUUGUUGCCUUGGUCGGAGUGCUGCUUGUUGAUCUUACUUCGAAUCAGGCCGUGAAUUCGAGCCUAAGACAGCGUAAUUUUACUUCACGAUUUGUUGACCACCGAGUGUUUGAUAAUAUGCCUCUUAGUCACUGACAUUGAAUAGAUUGCGGUUUCGUUCGAACUGAAGAUGCGCAGACGUAGAUUCAUUAUUUUCUUGGUGCAUUGAUUCGGGUUUUGUUUCAUCAUCAUCAAGAUUGAUUCUGAACGUGUUCUGUUCUGUUUGUCUCUUCUUUGUAUUUGGCAUGUUUCUUUGCUGCGUUCGAUGACAAUGGCCGCUGACGAGAGGAAUCGGAAUUCAAACUGAUGGUCCAAGUAUCCGUCUCUAAGCUCAGAGGCACGGCACUUGUUUAUCCAAGUAUGUUUCUGUUCCCAUGUUCUGCGUUUGAGUGAUUAUGGCCUGCGUGAGUGACGGUGAUCUGGUAGGGAAUGGAGAGGCCGAUAAUGAAAUUGAAUUGGUUCCGUGGUGAACUGAGACUGUGAUGGAGAUCCAGGGAUGGUUGCCGGUGUCGAUGGCAUACGUUGAGGGGAAGGAGGUUUCCGGGAAGGAAGUUGACAUCUCUGGAUCUCAAGGUUUCACUUGGCAAUAUAGUUUUGUCGUUUUUAUUGAUGACGCUUCAUUCAGCUUUUUGAAUAAGGGGAAGAAAUCAUCGACUCUGUAAAAUCUGACAGCAUAUGAGCGGUUUCAAAUAUUCGAAGAGUUCGAUUUGAUGCUCCCUUCCUCCAAGUUCUUUACAACUUGCCAAGUACCAAAUUAUAUUUAAUACGUUUCUCUAAAUAGCAUGGUAUAUUUAUAAAGGAUGACGUUCUUGAAAUGAAACUCAGGUUGUUAUAAAGAAGCUUUGUUGGCUGACUACCUUUUCUAAAAGGUUUGAUGUUUUGCGAAAAAUAUGGUAAGUUUAAAAGUCAGCAGUACCUCUCAAAAUUUAAUUUGAAUUUGGGUCAAAACCAGAACUAAUGAUUAUUUGGAUUUAAUGCAAAUCACUAAAUUCAACCUUUUGACGAACCUAUAUUUGGUAUAUUUUUAGUAGGCUCGGCUUGCUAACUUGCAUGUUUUGCAGUAUCUUAGAUAUUUGACAUAGCAAGAGUCAAUAUUUGAAGAUUCUCAAAGGGAAUUCACGCCUAUCUUUGGUAACAGUGGUUACCAAUGUAAAAAAAUAAAGUAUUUUGAAAUUAAGUGUUGGAUGAUCGGUGAUUGGAAUGAUGACUGGCGGCAUCCGCUAACAAUAGCGGCGGCGGCUACGUCGGCGGAGGCAUCGGUCUAGUGACUGGAGUUUUUUGAUAGGGAAGCAUGUCAUUUUCGGUUCAAGAUAAAAUAGACAUGAAUCUUUGUCGAAGUUUUGGUUUUCUCGUAUACGUGGGUUCCAAGGUUGCCGGGAAGAAGACGAUGGGGGCAAGAAAAGAAGAAAAAAAGUUCUAAUAUUUUUGGUUCAACUCAUACCGGUUACUUUAUUGCACUGUAUCUUUUACUCUCACUUCAUUACUUUCUUAGAUCAAUUGUGAUUCUUUUA